rnacentral:rRNA from 1 species
GACGAACGCUGGCGGCGUGCUUAACACAUGCAAGUCGAGCGGUAAGGCCCUUUCGGGGGUACACGAGCGGCGAACGGGUGAGUAACACGUGGGUGACCUGCCCUCAGCUCUGGGAUAAGCCUGGGAAACCGGGUCUAAUACCGGAUAUGACUCCAUGACGCAUGUUGUGGGGUGGAAAGCCUUGUGCGGCUGAGGAUGGGCCCGCGGCCUAUCAGCUUGUGGUGGGGUGAGGCCUACCAAGGCGACGACGGGUAGCCGGCCUGAGAGGGCGACCGGCCACACUGGGACUGAGACACGGGCCCAGACUCCUACGGGAGGCAGCAGUGGGGAAUCUUGCGCAAUGGGCGAAAGCCUGACGCAGCGACGCCGCGUGAGGGAUGACGGCCU